UGCCAGCCGCCGCGGUAAUACGGAGGGGGUUAGCGUUGUUCGGAAUUACUGGGCGUAAAGCGUACGUAGGCGGAUUAAUAAGUUAGAGGUGAAAUCCCAGGGCUCAACCUCGGAACUGCAUUCGAUACUCCCGUGCUAGAGUAAUGGAGAGGUAAGUGGAAUUCCUGGUGUAGCAGUGAAAUGCGUGGAUAUCAGGAGGAACAUCAAUGGCGAAGGCAACUUACUGGACAUUUACUGACGCUCAGACACGAAGGCUAGGGUAGCGAAAGGGAUUAGAUA
rnacentral:rRNA from 1 species